AUUGAACGCUGGCGGCAGGCCUAACACAUGCAAGUCGAACGGUAACAGGAAGAAGCUUGCUUCUUUGCUGACGAGUGGCGGACGGGUGAGUAAUGUCUGUGAAACUGCCUGAUGGAGGGGGAUAACUACUGGAAACGGUAGCUAAUACCGCAUAACGUCGCAAGACCAAAGAGGGGGACCUUCGGGCCUCUUGCCCUCUGGUGUGCCCAGAUGGGAUUAGCUAGUAGGUGGGGUAACGGCUCACCUAGGCGACGAUCCCUAGCUGGUCUGAGAGGAUGAUCAGCCACACUGGAACUGAGACACGGUCCAGACUCCUACGGGAGGCAGCAGUGGGGAAUAUUGCACAAUGGGCGCAAGCCUGAUGCAGCCAUGCCGCGUGUAUGAAGAAGGCCUUCGGGUUGUAAAGUACUUUCAGCGGGGAGGAAGGGAGUAAAGUUAAUACCUUGGCUCAUUGACGUUACCCGAAGAAGAAGAACCGGCUAACUCCGUG
rnacentral:rRNA from 1 species